AAUGUGAGCGUCAUUGGGGAGUAGCUACCCUCCGUUUUCCGAGAGGGGCCUGCAUCAACACGCUUGGCCGCCCGGCCAUGGCGCAGGCAGCCCGGGGCUUUGCGAGACCUUUGACCAUGCUGACUCUGGACAGGCCGGAGGGCGGCUGGUCACUGGUUAACCUCCCGGCCUC
rnacentral:sRNA from 2 species